UACGGAGGGUGCAAGCGUUAUCCGGAUUUACUGGGUUUAAAGUGUGCGUAGGUGGGCAGGUAAGUCAGUGGUGAAAUCUCCGGGCUUAACUCGGAAACUGCCAUUGAUACUAUCUUUCUUGAAUACCGUGGAGGUCAGCGGAAUAUGUCAUGUAGCGGUGAAAUGCUUAGAUAUGACAUAGAACACCAAUUGCGAAGGCAGCUGGCUACACGAAUAUUGACACUGAUGCACGAAAGCGUGGGGAUCAAACAGG
rnacentral:rRNA from 1 species